CACGUAGGCGGACCUACAAGUCGGGGGUGAAAUCCCGGGGCUCAACCCCGGAACUGCCUUCGAAACUGUGGGUCUGGAGGUCGAGAGAGGUGAGUGGAAUUCCGAGUGUAGAGGUGAAAUUCGUGGAUAUUCGGAGGAACACCAGUGGCGAAGGCGGCUCACUGGCUCGAUACUGACGCUGAGGUGCGAAAGCGUGGGGAGGCAAAACA
rnacentral:rRNA from 1 species